rnacentral:lncRNA from 1 species
GGUAAGUAGGCCUCUCCAUCCUGAUAGCGAGGGAGGCCUCAUCGGGUUUGACCCCGGCAUGCUUUGACACCUUUUUCACUGUUGGAAGAUGCUCUGACUUUAAAGUAGAAAGCAGACUUGACUGAAGCUGAUUGACACAGGUCAAGGGGACUUCAAGGAAGAAAGCCAGCCUUAGACUGACAUCAGAGAACCAAACUCCGGUGUCUAAGCUCAAGCUCCUGCUUCCUGACCUGCUUGAGUUCCAGUCCUGACCUCCUUUGGUGAUGAACAGCAAUGUGGAAGUUUCCUGCCUUGACUUCUCUACAAUAAUGGACUGUAACCGAGAAUGGAAAGCCAAAGAAAGUCCUUCCUCUUCUAAGCUGCUCUUGGUCGUGGUGUUUCAUCACAACAACAGAAGAGAACCUAGGACAAUCACCUUACCUGUGAGAGCGAGGAGCCUAUGCAGUAAUACAAGUAAUUGGGAAGACACUGGCUCAGAGCCUGUCUCUGGUGACCACUGAAUUGUCCAGCACCUGAGGUCCCUGGAGCCCACGGACUGAGCCCAUCUGGGCUAAAAGAGGUCCCAUACAUCCUUCUCAAAGGCCUAUAUAAAUGCCAAGCAGAGUUAUAGCAGGAGGUUAGAAUCCUGAGAACUGUUUGGAAUAAGGAAUCCAAAUAUUGUCUUCCAGCUUCACCUUGUCACGACAGUCCUCGCCAGGGACAGCUGAGCAUCUACAUCUCCAUUUAUGCCGUGUGCACGCAGUACCAACAGAGGUCAGAGGAGGGUGUCGGAUCCCCUGGAACUGGAGUCACAGAUUCUUCCUUGCGUGGAUGAAACAGUCCCAACGAACACUUUAAAAAGACAAAUGUUCCCGACAGCACUGGUUGAAUUCAAAACUCGGCAGAUCCAUGUUCUUAUCCUUAGACAAGAGAGGGGCCAUAACAAGAUGGAAUGACGGAACAGACGUGAGAGAUGAUGUCCACCCAGAGGGUCUGCACUUCUCGGAGCCAGAAGGUGGAGAAGAGUAGGGAUGGAGGAAGUUCGAAGUUUUAGGAGUCUGCUCUUGGGUCCCUAGGCAUGAGGACAAGCUUUUCCUGUACUCAAUGCUCAUCUCUCAGUUGUGCCCACAUUGGUACACAUUACUUGCUUUCAACUGCUGCUGCUGCUGUUUCCUAAUUCAAUAAAGAUAUGGCUGGCUCA